AAUUCUAAAGCUCUAAAAAAAAUCCUACUAUUUAGCAACAGUAGAAUACUCAUGAUAGUCUACAAUUAUUCAGGAAAAGGGUCACUUUCUUUUUCCCACCACAGAAGUACUUUUUUUUUCAUAUGCUGUCUCUUCAUCAUGUUAUUGUAAUUUAUUUUGGUAUACUCUGAGUUCCCAAUUAGAUCACAUCUCCUUUGUACUUUUUAAAAAUGCAUAGUAUUUGAGAUUAUUCCUGCCUGAAAAAUAUGAAUCCUUUUUCCUUUUAUUCUCACUUCUCUUGAAUUGCUGACAAAACUCUUCCCCCACUUCUUUUUAUUUGUAAGGCUCUCUGCAGCUAAUGAAGGAAGUGAAACUAGUAGAAUUAAUGCACAGCUACUGGGACUCCACCCUUUAACAGUUGAUUCAACAGGCAUUACUCAAAUGACUACAGAUUAGUAGUAACCCACACUUCUACAAAUGCUGACAGUGCACUGAAGCUUUUACUGAAAGAAACUGAUGGGAAUUAAACGGUGUUCAUCUGGAAUUGUCUCCCAGUUUUCACCUAUACAGGCAUGAUUUUCAUUUAGUACCCGUGACUUAUGUAGCAGCUCAUGUGCUCGCUUGCAUGUGCAGUAGUACUCAGCUGUUAUGUCAUUAAAUCCAGAAGACUUUAUGUUAGUGACAGUACAGUCUAUACUACUAGUCUGUGCAGUCUUUUCAACUUCAAGUCACUGAAGCUUUGAAUCUAUUGCAUUUAUUGCCCUUCAGUAGGAGCACAUUGUACUGCAAAGAAGAUGCAAAUGUUCCUGUAUAUGAUACUAUUUCCUGGAAAGGUAGGGUGUUGCAGAAAAGCAGAUAAAAGAAGUAUAGUUGUAUUGCCAUGUUGAAAAAGGUUCCAUUUUUUGAUUAAUUGUACUAUCUUUCCUGUUUUUCGUACAAAGAAUCAAAGAUUGGGUAAGGGUUUAAGGGACCAUGCAUAAGUGGGUCCAACCUCCCUGCUUGAGCAGUAAUCCUAGAGCACACUUCACAGGAUCGUGUCCCGACAAUUCUUGAGCAUCUCCUGUGAGGGAGACUUCACAACCUCUCUAGACUAUCUGUGCAGUGAAGUCAAUUGCACAGUAAAAAAGUUCUUAAGUUCUUUCCCUUUGACAUAUAGUGUCAUCCACCUAGCACAUUCCUUGCUUUCUGAAAAAGUGGGAAAAUUUACUUGAAAUGCUUCAUAGUUUUUUUUUUAAUAUUGAGAUUUUUGUAGAAACUUAUAAAUUUAUCUGCUCAGUAAUGAGUCACAGAUUAUGUUUUUCUUCUUUAUUAAAUUAUGCAGCAUGAAAUGAAAAGUUCCAUUCUAAUUCUGCCUUCCUCUGCUCUUGUGAAAUGGUGUGGUGCUAGAGAAAAUCAGUUCUUUACUACUGGAAAAUUCUUAAGUCUAUGAAAGAAUUGCACCCUUGCUUGGGGGCAGUAGGGGCUAUGAUAAAAUCUGGUCUGCUAAUUAUUUACUUCUUGUUACCACUUCUUGUGUGAUGUUUAAAGUGGUGUUUUGUUAUUUAACAUACAAAAUCACAUAUGUUGUCCAGAAGUAAGUUUGUGCAUCUGUGUCAAGUAUAGAAUGAGGCUCGGGGAAGGCAGGGAUUUUGAGGAUGUUUGCAGAAGUUGUUCUUUGAAAUGUAGUUGAAAUUUUCAGUGUUUUUGGAGAAAAUCAUUCAAAGACAAAAAGUGUAAUUUGCUGUCAGGAAUAGUUAGAGCAUCUUGGCAGUAAACAAAGAGGAGCAUUCAUUAAAGUUUUCACUAGAAUUCUAUUUCUUUAACAACACAGAAAAAUGGAUUAACAAAAUGUUUUAAUUGUCUAGUACAAUACAUGCCUGUUAUGCUUCUCUUGUCAAAUUAAAAG